rnacentral:rRNA from 1 species
AUGUGGGGACUUUAUUGAACCCCGUCUGUCUACUUAAUUUACACACACUCUAUUUAAUUUAAACUGAAUGUAAUUGAUGUAACGCAUCUAAUACUAAGUUUCAACAACGGAUCUCUUGGCUCUCGCAUCGAUGAAGAACGCAGCGAAAUGCGAUAAGUAAUGUGAAUUGCAGAAUUCAGUGAAUCAUCGAAUCUUUGAACGCACCUUGCGCUCCUUGGUAUUCCUUGGAGCAUGCCUGUUUGAGUAUCAUGAAAUCUUCAAAGUAAACCUUUUGUUAAUUCAAUUGGUUCCUUACUUUGGUAUUGGAGGUCUUUGCAGUUUCACAACUGCUCCUCUUUGUUCAUUAGCUGGAUCUCAGUGUUAUGCUUGGUUCCACUCGGCGUGAUAAGUAUCUAUCGCUGAGGACACUUGUAAAAAGGUGGCCAAGGUAAAUGCAGAUGAACCGCUUCUAACAGUCCAUUGACUUGGACAAUAAAUAUUUAUGAUCUGAUCUCAAAUCAGGUAGGACUACCCGCUGAACUUA